GCCUUCACUUCCCAACAGCUGAAAUAAAAACUGAUUAUAUGAAGAACCUGGUGAUUAUGGAAAAACAACAGCUUGAUUGACAUGAGGGCCUACAGCAAAACGUGUUGACCCAUCACUCUCUUGUAAAAUGACUUGUCAGUCUUACCUCAGACGUUGUGUAUGCACAGAAGACAGAACAACCAACUCUGCUAGACCCACAGGAGACUCAAUGUUACCAGUUACAACGGAGCAGAGAGAAUUAAGCACAUAAGAAAUAAUGGUCAUGUAUGAGUUACAUAGUACAAGUAACUGCAGUGAGGGAUUGUGUGUUGUAAGUUAAAGUAGCAUUGAAAAUGACAGAUACUAUAACUAUAUACAAGAAUACAGAGCACUGAUCCAGAUAUUCAGCGCAUUUUAAAACAGCACAAUUAAACAUCAGAGGCCCUGGGAGAAUUUAAAGUCACAUCUGGCUUGAUGGGCUUUAUUUGUCAACAUUUAACCACAUUUUCGCAUUUCUAGAAAGAAAGAAGAAAUCCAACUCGUUGUAGUCAGUUAAAACAUUCUUUUUAUUAGGAUUUCAGGCUAAUAGAUUUCAGACUUCUUGAGUUGGACUUAUAAAAUAACGACUGAAUACAGUUUCUGAAACAGAACCAGUACUGCCAGUAUCUUUCCAAGCUUUCUACUUGACUUAUACUGAACUUCUCUUUAAAAAGUGAUGACAGAUGGAGACUUAAAGACUGACACAAGUAAUUAAUGAUAUAGCUAGUAGGGUAAAAGAUUCCAGUGGAGAAAACUGAUAGCAAUUGUAUUUUUAUCGACUCUUUGCCUCUCUCCGGUGGUACAAGUAUGUAUCACAGUUCAUCAAUUUGAACUGUCCAUAAUGGAUAAAUGCAAAAACACAACUUCAAAUAAGAAUAAAACAGUUUAUGAAAUUUUUUUUCUACAACUUUGUCUUUUUUUAAAGCCUUUCACACAACGAGCACUACAAAUGAUCUGAUGGAAAUGUUUUACUCAAUGGUCAAAAGUACAAUGCAACUUUAAAUAUGGUCAAACCGUAAAUCACAGUCAUUUGUAAUAUUUAAUUCAUGAAAUAAACUAACAAUGAACAACAGAUGUUCACAAGCAAAAAAGGAAAAUAAAUUCUCAAAAAUAAUGUGUACAAAUAUGCAAUUCCCAUCAUUCAAAUUAAAUUUUCCUUUUACCUGCAG